rnacentral:rRNA from 1 species
UAUCUGACUUGUAUUCAUCCACAAUCUUUGUCGCGCUUGGGUUGUCCGCUCUCCAGAUUGGGACGGCGUCUGGGCUGCUGACAUUGGCUGUGGUGCAUUUGCAGGUGGUGUGCGCCGAGACUCCCGUGUUGGCUGCAUGAUCUUGAUGUUGAGGCCAGCUUGCUGGUACCCACACCAGGGGAGUGUUGUUCAGCAUGAGUGUACAUUUUUGGGCAUGGCUCACGAGCCAGGGUUGGGCCAAUCUGGAAGUCAGUGGCGGUCGCAUGCGACACGUGCUGUGCAACCAGUUCGGUCCUGCUUUCGGCUCUCGUGUCCGCUCUCGGUGUAAAAGCUGGUCAUCUGUCCGACCCGUCUUGAAACACGGACCAAGGAGUUUAUCGUGUGCGCAAGUCAUUGGGCGUUUAAAACCCAAAGGCGCAAUGAAAGUAAAUGCAUCCGCAAGGAGCUGACGUGCGAUCCUGGGCAUCGCGGUGCCCGGGCGCAGCAUGGCCCCAUCCCGACUGCAUGCAGUGGGGUGGCGGUAGAGCGUACGCGAUGAGACCCGAAAGAUG